GACGAACGCUGGCGGCGUGCCUAAUACAUGCAAGUAGAACGCUGAAGAGAGGAGCUUGCUCUUCUUGGAUGAGUUGCGAACGGGUGAGUAACGCGUAGGUAACCUGCCUGGUAGCGGGGGAUAACUAUUGGAAACGAUAGCUAAUACCGCAUAAAAUGGAUUAUCGCAUGAUAAUCCAUUGAAAGGUGCAAAUGCAUCACUACCAGAUGGACCUGCGUUGUAUCAGCUAGUUGGUGGGGUAACGGCUCACCAAGGCGACGAUACAUAGCCGACCUGAGAGGGUGAUCGGCCACACUGGGACUGAGACACGGCCCAGACUCCUACGGGAGGCAGCAGUAGGGAAUCUUCGGCAAUGGACGGAAGUCUGACCGAGCAACGCCGCGUGAGUGAAGAAGGUUUUCGGAUCGUAAAGCUCUGUUGUAAGAGAAGAACGAGUGUGAGAGUGGAAAGUUCACACUGUGACG
rnacentral:rRNA from 1 species